rnacentral:lncRNA from 1 species
AAACAUAACCUUAUAAACAAACAGUUGUUUAUUUAGAGUUAUUUAUUAUUGUUUUCUGAUAUUUUGCAAUUGUUAAGUUGGUUUACUUCGAAUUUAAUAUGCAUUACUGUGGUAUUUCUCCAGUUUUCUAAGAAGGUUGGUGAUUUUGAAUUGGGGUUAUGAUGAAUUUAACCCAAAGGCAAUGUGUGUUUAUUUAUGUGGCAAAAUUCCAGGCACCAUAAAAAUCUGAGUUUCUUCCUGUUGCCCAUGGAUGAAAAUCGGUUUGCAGAAUGAAAAGAAAUUGUUCAAUGUGAUAAACUUUCUAUGAACAGUCCUCAAUAUUGUUACAUUAACUUUUAAAUAUGCACUUUACAUCUUGAGGAGCAGGCCUUUGCAGAAAUACUGAAAAGCGGGUUGCAAAACAACGCAAAAUAAAAUAAACGAAAUAUGUCUUGAGAUUAAAGAUUCAAGUUGAAGGUGUGUUCUUUCUUAAACUGGAAUGAUAAUUUUGUAAUUCUGUAGGCACAUCUAUUGAGAAGUUACAACCAGUGGCAAAGUGCCUUAAGGGAAUCUAUGACAUAUAUAAUUGAAGGGACAUCUCCUCUGAAGGAAUUACAAUUAUUUGCCAGUAUGUCAAAUGAAUUUUCAACAUCAGUCAUACUUUCAUGAAUUUAUUGAUGAAAAUAAAACUAGGUACAUGAUUUAUUAUUUACUUCCAAGGGAUUCUAAGAUACUAUGUGUAAAAAGUCCAAUAUGCAGUGAUGAGCAUGCUAAUAACUGGCAAAAUAUGGGAUAUAACGCCAAAGAUGGGAAACAUGGGAUGCAUUCUGAAGUAAAAAGAGUAAACAUAUAAAUUAACAUUACAUUACAUAGUUUCCCACCUUUAGACAUAUCAGAUGAGAAUUAGAACUGUCACUGUGCCAGGAGAAUUUUAUAAAAUACUCCUGUCACAGAGAUCUAAAGGUGGGAAACUAUGUAAUGUUAUCGUCGGCUAAGAGUGUUAACCUGCUAACUCCAUUUUUCACUGUGAGUGAUAUUGGGGUAGUUUCUAGGUCUGUGUACCUUCAUACCAUGUCCCACAAGCCCGCUGGUUCCACUGUAGUUUAGAGAUAGCUAUUUCUAAACUACAUUGGUGUCGGCGGGUUUGUGGGGUGGUGUAUGAAAAUACACGGACCCAGAAACUAGCCCAAUAUCACUCAAAGUGAAAAAUGGAGUUAGCAGGUUAAAACUCUUAUCCAAGGUUAUGUUAAUUUAUUCGUUUAUAACGAUAAGUUCCACUUCUACCAGUUUCAUCUCUUUUUAUCUCACAAGUUAAUAUGUUUUCCAUCUUUUGCGUUAUUUUGCCGGUUAUUAGUGUGAGUGCUCAUUACUGUAUAUUUACGAUUCUGUGAUUUCUCAAUAUGAUGCUGAGUAGGUAUAGAUCUGAGUAGGUAUAUAGUAGGUAUCUACAAUCCUUUCAAAACAGAAAUUUAUAAGUUCAUUUUAUGUACCUAUUAAACUUUAUUUUAAGGAUGAAUUUGAAAUGCUUGUAGGGAAUAUAUCUGUAAAAAAUAAAAUUGGUAUUGUAAAAUUGAAAUUCUCAAAAUAUAAUUUAUAAUUCGAA